rnacentral:lncRNA from 1 species
CCGCAUCCGCUCGGCCCGAUUUUACUUUUCACCGCACGACUCCUCACUCUUCAGUCCUCCCUAGGGUUUGUGACGUUUGUCCAGUCUCGAAUUCACAUUUUCACCGCGCCGCCCUCUUCCCUCAAUGUCGCUCUCCCGAUCUCCCCUCUCCUCUCCCGAUCUCCCCUCUCCUCUCCUCCGGAUUCUUCGCCUCUGCCCUCUCCUCCGGACCUCCGCCUCCACCUUCUCCUCCCCCUUGUCGACUACUUCCG